AUACCUGUACCUAUUCACGAGCAUUAAAGUAUGUAUCAAUGCAGGAAUAAAUAUUAUUACAAGACCUUAUUUUAGUGUAACCAACCUAUCAUUAACUCGCUUGUUAUUUUGUUACAUCGUUAAAAUUCAGUCAUAUCAGCCACAAUUACUUUUCAUCCCUCUUAUUUUUAAAUACUCCAUGUUUUACUGAUGAUGCUCAAGCGGAAAAUUUAUAUUUCCGAUAUAUGAUAUUACCUAUGAAUAUAGAAUAACUGCUUAAUAAUC
rnacentral:misc_RNA from 1 species